GACGAACGCUGGCGGCGUGCCUGAUACAUGCAAGUAGAACGCUGAAGGAGGAGCUUGCUUCUCUGGAUGAGUUGCGAACGGGUGAGUAACGCGUAGGUAACCUGCCUGGUAGCGGCGGAUAACUAUUGGAAACGAUAGCUAAUACCGCAUAAUAGUAGAUGUUGCAUGACAUUUGCUUAAAAGGUGCAAUUGCAUCACUACCAGAUGGACCUGCGUUGUAUUAGCUAGUUGGUGAGGUAACGGCUCACCAAGGCGACGAUACAUAGCCGACCUGAGAGGGUGAUCGACCACACUGGGACUGAGACACGGCCCAGACUCCUACGGGAGGCAGCAGUAGGGAAUCUUCGGCAAUGGGGGGAACCCUGACCGAGCAACGCCGCGUGAGUGAAGAAGGUUUUCGGAUCGUAAAGCUCUGUUGUAAGAGAAGAACGAGUGUGAGAGUGGAAAGUUCACACUGUGACGGUAUCUUACCAGAAAGGGACGGCUAACUACGUGC
rnacentral:rRNA from 1 species